UAUUAAGCGGAGGAAAAGAAACUAACUAGGAUUCCUUUAGUAGCUGCGAGCGAACAAGGAAAAGCCCAGCACCGAAUCCCGCGCCCAUUACGGACGCCGGGAAAUGUGGUGUUUGGGAGGACUCAUUAUCACGAAGUUGUUUAUUGCGUCCAAGUCCUUCUUGAACGGGGCCACAACCCAUAGAGGGUGCCAGGCCCGUAGUGACUAAUAACAAUUGCGUGAGAGUCUCUCCUUAGAGUCGGGUUGCUUGAGAGUGCAGCCCUAAGUGGGUGGUAAACUCCAUCUAAGGCUAAAUAUAACCACGAGACCGAUAGCGAACAAGUACCGUGAGGGAAAGUUGAAAAGCACUUUGAAGAGAGAGUUCAAGAGUACGUGAAACCGUUCAGGGGUAAACCUGAGAAACCCGAAAGGUCGAAAGAGAAAAUUCAUUCGUAUAACGUUGCUGGCAGUAAGUGAUUGUAUGACAAUUAUUAUUUAUAAUGAUUGCAUCCUUUAUUUAUUGAACUAGUAGCGAAUACGUGCACUUUUUCUCAAGUAGGACGCCGCGAUCCGUUAGGUGUCGGUUUAAGGCCCAUAGUGGAGUCUGAUUUCCUUAUAUAAUUUUUAUAUAAAGAAAUUAGACCUAUGGUGUUUUCCCGACCGACUGGCUUGACGGUAUAAUAAUGACGUAGAGCCGCGACUUUAAAUCGCGUUCAGCCCAUGGCAAGCACGCCUUGAUGUGUUGGCAAUCGGACCUAGUGCCGUUUCUGACCCCUGGUGACUGUUGGCUAUGGUGUUCUUGAACAGACUCUAUAAUAUGAAACGUCAAUCUGCGGCGCUAUAGCUUUGGGUACUUUCAGGACCCGUCUUGAAACACGGACCAAGGAGUCUAGCAUGUGCGCAAGUCAUUGGGACAUAACUAAACCUAAAGGCGUAAUGAAAGUAAAAGUUUGUCUUGCACAAACUUAGGGAAGAUGGGUGGUUUGCCUUUAAAGCAGCCAUUCCGCACUCCCGGGGCGUCUCAUUCUUAUUACAAGAAGAGGCGCACCAAGAGCGUACACGCUGGGACCCGAAAGAUGGUGAACUAUGCCUGGUCAGGACGAAGUCAGGGGAAACCCUGAUGGAGGUCCGUAGCGAUUCUGACGUGCAAAUCGAUCGUCGGAACUGGGUAUAGGGGCGAAAGACUAAUCGAACCAUCUAGUAGCUGGUUCCCUCCGAAGUUUCCCUCAGGAUAGCUGGCGCUCAUUUUGCACGAGUCUCAUCCGGUAAAGCGAAUGAUUAGAGGCAUUGGGGUCGAAACGACCUCAACCUAUUCUCAAACUUUAAAUGGGUGAGAUCUCCGGCUUGCUUAAAUAAUUGAAGCCGUGAGAUUUCGGAUCAGAGUGCCAAGUGGGCCAUUUUUGGUAAGCAGAACUGGCGCUGUGGGAUGAACCAAACGCUGAGUUAAAGCGCCUAAAUCGACGCUUAUGGGAUACCAUGAAAGGCGUUGGUAACUUAAGACAGCAGGACGGUGGCCAUGGAAGUCGGAAUCCGCCAAGGAGUGUGUAACAACUCACCUGCCGAAGUUACUAGCCCUGAAAAUGGAUGGCGCUGAAGCGUCGUGCUUAUACUCAGCCGUCAGUGGCAUGUGCGGUUCAUUUAAUUGAAUCAUGAAGCUCUGACGAGUAGGAGGGUCGCGGCGGUGAGCGCUGAAGGGCUGGCCGUGAGGCCGUCUGGAGCCGCCGUCGGUGCAGAUCUUGGUGGUAGUAGCAAAUACUCCAGCGAGGCCCUGGAGGACUGACGUGGAGAAGGGUUUCG
rnacentral:rRNA from 1 species